CACCCAAUUUAUAUAUACAGCCUUCUCAACGCCAUCGCUCUCAUCACUUCAUUUCUCUUUCGUUAGCUUCCAAAUCUAAACGACAGCACAAAACCCAGAAAACGGCAAUGGCGAUGGCUAUGGUUGACGACUGCCACUUUCCUUCCCUCAAAGACAGGCUCAAAUCCUCCAUUUGUUGCUUCGCUGCUCAUGAUAAUCUCCCUGAGAGCCUGGACUCCGUCGACGACGGCAGCAGGAGGACACAGACGCCGAGAUCUCCAUACGCUUGGUUGAAAUCCACGGCUCAGGAUCUUGAAAUCAGAGACAAAUGUUGGGGCCUGAUUGGAAGAAGAGGUAAGAAUCGGAGGCGUCAUAAUUCUGCCGAUUUUAGGUACGAUCCUGCGAGUUAUUCCCUCAAUUUCGAUGAUGAUAAUAAACGAGAGGAUGAGUUGCCGCUCAAUAAUUUUAUGGCGAGGCUUCCGGCCACCCCAGAGAGGUUGCCGGCGGUAGGAACAACUAGGUGUGAGCUCGUUGCGUGGACAUGAUUGAGGAUGGUAUCUGAUUUUGGUGUUAUAUAAUAUAUUUUUAUACAUAUUUUCUAAUUGUAACUCCUCAAUCUUGACUUCAUCUGUGUUUGUAUGUGCAGAAAUCUAAAUCUAAUUCUCUGUAUUUGUAAAGAGAAGCGGAAAAUU
rnacentral:misc_RNA from 1 species